rnacentral:Y_RNA from 1 species
GGCUGGUCCUACGGUAUUGAGUUAUCAGAGCUUAUCAACCCUGUGUCACUGAAGUUGGUAUGCAACACCCCCUCCCACUGCUAAAUUUGACUUGAUUAAA